CAUGGUCUCUGGUGGGUCUGACACUUCAUUUGACGAUAGAGCCCAUUCAGUUUCAGGUCUCUUCGCCAUUUCACGUUUGUAUGUAGCUGUCUUUGACUUCCUUUCGACUGGACCUGCCCGCCUGACAAGGCAUGCUUGCUUCUCCGUCUAGAAAGUGAUCAAAUGUCUUGGCUCCUGAGGCUGUAUGUUUAUCUGAGGCUAGAGGGAUGGAGGGUGUCUCUCUUCAGACACACCUGUGGUUGGACCCAGUACCUGUUGUCAUUCCCAGGCUGUCCUUGCCUUCACAGAUCCCUCGCGAUUGGAACCAAAUCUGGUUAUAAGCUGUUUUCUUUGAGCUCCGUGGAGCAGCUGGACCCCGUCCACGGAAGCAAUGACAUCCCCGACGUCUGCAUCGUGGAGCGCCUCUUCUCCAGCAGCCUGGUGGUGGUGGUGAGCCACACGAAGCCUCGCCAGAUGAACGUCUACCACUUCAAGAAGGGCACGGAGAUCUGCAGCUACAGCUACUCCAGUAACGUCUUGUCCAUCAGGCUGAACCGGCAGAGGCUGCUCGUUUGCCUGGAGGAGUCCAUUUACAUUCACAACAUUAAAGACAUGAAGCUUCUGAAGACCAUCCUGGAUAUUCCUCCAAACCCAACAGGUCUGUGUGCCCUGUCCAUCAACCAUUCCAAUUCCUACGUGGCCUAUCCUGGGAGCCGGACGACAGGCGAGAUCGUGCUCUACGACGGACACGCCCUGAAGACAGUCUGCACCAUUGCUGCCCACGAGGGGGCGCUGGCCGCCAUUGCCUUCAACGCCUCGGGCUCCAGACUGGCCAGCGCCUCCGAGAAAGGCACUGUCAUCCGGGUGUUCUCGGUUCCCGAUGGGCAAAAGCUCUAUGAGUUUCGGAGAGGCAUGAAAAGGUACGUGACGAUCAGCUCUCUGGCUUUCAGUAUGGACUCGCAACUCCUCUGUGCUUCGAGCAACACGGAGACCGUGCACAUCUUCAAGCUGGAGCACCUCGCCAACAGCCAGCCAGAGGAGCCCUCGACCUGGACCAGCUACGUGGGAAAGAUGCUCAUGGCUGCGACCAACUACCUCCCCACCCAGGUGUCCGACAUGAUGAACCAGGACAGGGCCUUUGCCACCGGGCGCCUGGGCUUCUCUGGGCACAGGAACAUCUGCACCCUCUCUACGAUCCAGAAGCUGCCGAGGCUCCUGGUGGCAUCAUCCAGUGGACACCUUUACAUCUACAACUUGGACCCUCAGGAUGGAGGAGACUGCGUCUUAAUCAAGACCCACAGCUUGCUUGGCUCAGGAACUGCCGAUGAGAAUAAAGAAAAUGACCUCAGAGCUUCAUUACCUCAGUCUUACGCAGCAACUGUGGCCAGACCAAGCCCUUCUGCAGCCUCCACGGUGCCAGGUUAUUCUGAGGAUGGCGGGGCGCUCCGAGGAGAGGUCAUCCCCGAACACGAGUUUGCGACGGGACCAGUGUGUCUUGAUGAUGAGAAUGAGUUUCCCCCUGUGAGCACUGGGCACCCUUAAGAGCAUCCAAUCCGUGUGCUUAGACAGAACCCUCACCUGUGCACGAGGCGGAGUCCUUUCCCUGUUGUCUCAUCUGUCACAACUAAUCCUCCCCUAACACCCGGGAAGCCUCAGACCCCACAGACUAGCCCACCUGACAGUGUCAGGAUAACCGCGUACUUGCCCAGGGAGCCGUGGCGGCCUCCCCGCGUUCGGAGGCCCGGGCCCCUUGACUCUGCUUCCUUAGCACCCUCUGUGCUGCUCACAGGGAGAAACUGGUCCGUCUAAGCUCUUAUUUUCCUGAGGUUCCUGAGAUGCUCUGAGCAGAAUGUUGCCGCCCUUGUGAUGCUAAAGGUGAUGCUCGGACAGGGCUGGGCCCUCGCCCUCCUCCGGCUCUGACAGGACUGACCCCUGUUCGUUAACAGCCACUCGGAGAGCGGAGCGGCGGUGGGAAGCCCCCCGGGCACCUCUAGCCGGGCACCUCCCCAGCAUCCUGCUUCAGCUGUCCUGGCAGCAAGGGCCCAGGCUUAGCUGGGCGCUGGGCAUGGCUCCUCUCAGCAUCCUGGAGUGAAGAGAAGCUUGUCCCCCUGGUUCUGGUUCUUCAAGCUUCCGUUCAGAGCAACAUAGAGACCCCCUCUUAUGAGCUUCAGUCAGAAAACAGCCCAGACGGUCCACUUGAAGUCGUUUCAAGAUGGAAGCGGUGUUUAGGCCAAGGCUUGGAGAGUCAGCUGACUGUCCCUCCUGGAAGCAGAGAGAAGUAGCCAUUGGGCAUAGAUCUUGGGCUGCAUUGUUUUCUCUUGGUCAUGAUUUUGGGUCAGUUGGAUUUCAUUUGCCAAAGGAUGGAGUGCGGGUCUGGCGUCCCUCUUGCAGAGAUCCAUAGGACAAUCUAGUAAGUCUAGUAAAACAAAAACAAGAGCUGCUGUAGGGCCCUUCGUGCAGGACUGCAGGGCCGUGUUCCUGACUUCCCAAAAGGCUCUGUGGGUUGCAGCUUGGGAUCGGCCUUUCUGGCUUUUAAUAGACAGAUUGUCAAAUACAGUGCCAACCAGUAAAGUUUACAUCUUAGGGGUGGAAAGCAGUCAUUCUUAAAAAUACUAAUUACACGUUUAAAAACGUCUCCCAGUAGACCCCUCCCAAGGGACCAGUUGUUUUGCUCUUGGGUUCUCCUGCCCCUACUCGCUAUAGCGGGAGCUUUUCUGUGCCCCCCAAAAGUUGGUGGUCAUUUAUCUGAAGUCGUAUCUUCCGGGAACCAGAGCAGGUCAGAUGCAGUGGGCAUACAUGUGGAAUCUAAUGGAAUCAGCAAUUUUGGUAAAAGUCUGUGACUGCUAUAAAAGAUUAGAUUGUUAGAUACUUAACUGAAAUCAGAGUAGACCUCGAAACCUCUUAUAUUUACAGAAUUUGGAUAUCGGCAUUCAGAAGGUGAUCCCUUGCUAAAGAAAACCUGUAUCAAAUAAUACGUACACCAUGCAGAUCAUUUGGAGUUAAAAAAAAAAAAAUUGGAGACGCUUAAGAACUAUAGCACUGAAAUGAAAGGCCUGUUUGCUUAUUCGGUGCCAGGAAGCCUGGUACAAGCCAUUCGUCUUGUCUCCCUCGUAAGGACCAAACGAGUGGAAGUUGGUUUAAACUGCGCCGAUUUUUAUUUAUGUAGAAGGAGGGCUUCCUGCCCGUGAGCGUGAGAGUGCCGAUCACUGAACGAGCUUCCCCAGAACGGUCGCUAGGCCCUAGCAAUUUCGGAGCAGCCCCCGUGUGCGGAGCCGGUGGUAGGGGUCUCGGAGACCAUCAGACCCCAGCCCUGCCCUCAUGCCUGCAGGCAGAGCGAUGGGGUAGCAGAUAAUCUCGUGCCGCGGCGAUCAGAAGGGCAGAACGAAGCAGUCAUGGUGAACAGCAGGACCGCCCCUCUGUCAGGCGGUUUUGGAGACGACCAGGAAGGUGGAUGCAAGGCAUGCGGUAGUGUGAGCAGAAUGGGGGGUCAGGAACCCGGGACGCGGUUUGCUGCCCAGCAGGCUCGUCUCAGCCCCGGUGGCUGGUGGGUGCGGGAGCUGCUGCGAAGCCACAUCCUGCCGUUGUUGAAAGUGCGUCCCAGCCAGAGCGUCCACAUGGACGAACCAUCUUGGUCUAUAUAACGCUAAUUUUAUAUUACAAAGAGCAUCCUUUCGAAAGCGUAUGCUGCGUAAAAAUGUACUUACAGGAGAAUCUCUCUGAACUGUAUUUCUUGUAUAUGCGACAUAGAGAGAGAGGCUAUUUUAGCCAGGCAAAAGGUUUGUGCAGUGAUUGGAAUAAAUCAUUUAUGACCUUUCAGUCCCAUUUAGGACACUGAUAAUAAAACCAUGGCAAUGCA